rnacentral:rRNA from 1 species
AUGAGCCCCGAGGAGGGAGAGAGGCUCCUGUUCCCUUCCUUCGUCUUCCCGGACAGCUUCCCGGCCGACGACGCCACACCAGUCGUCUCCGGUGGAGAGCAGAAGAAGGCCGGCCGGCAGCGGCGGAGGAGGAGGGCGAGGCAGGCAGCGGCAGGCGAAGGCGCGGGAGGGGACGAUGCGGCGAAGAAACGCCGGCUGAGUGACGAGCAGGCGCAGUUCCUGGAGAUGAGCUUCAGGAAGGAACGUAAACUGGAGACGCCGCGCAAGGUGCAGCUCGCGGCGGAGCUUGGCCUGGACACCAAGCAGGUCGCGGUGUGGUUCCAGAACCGCCGCGCCCGCUACAAGAGCAAGCUCAUCGAGGAGGAGUUCUCCAAGCUCCGCGCCGCCCACGACGCCGUCGUCGUCCACAACUGCCGCCUCGAGGCCGAGCUGCUGAGGCUCAAGGAGAGGUUGGCGGAGACGGAGGAGGAGAAGAACAAGGCCAUGGCGGCGGCAGCGGCGACAGCGGGCGGCGGGGGUGGCAGCAGCCCGAGCUCUUCGUCGUUCUCGACGGUGACGGCAAUGGUAGGGGGGCAGCAGUUCGGGAUGGAGGAGGUGGAGACCGACCUCACCUACAUGAGCGAGUACGCCUACACCAACUACAUGAUGGACUUGGCGGCCGGCGGCUACCUCGGAGUCGGAGGGGUGUACGAUCAGUUCAGCUGA